rnacentral:misc_RNA from 1 species
GAUGAAGAACGCAGUGAAAUGCGAUAAGUAAUGUGAAUUGCAGAAUUCAGUGAAUCAUCGAAUCUUCGAACGCACAUUGCGCCCCCCAGUAUUCUGGCGGGCAUGCCUGUUCGAGCGUCAUUUCAACCAUCAAGCCCUGCUUGUGUUGGGGUCCUGCGGCUGCCCGCAGGCCCUGAAAACCAGUGGCGGGCUCGCUAGUCACACCGAGCGCAGUAGCACAUCUCGCUCAGGGCGUGCGGCGGGCUCCAGCCGUUAAAGCACCCACCUUUCGCAAGGUUGACCUCGGAUCAGGUAGGAAUACCCGCUGAACUUAAGCAUAUCAAUAAGCGGAGGA